AAGAGACACUGAGCGAAACAGGGCGACACUCUCCUCACAAUAGUUGUGUUUUUGGUCAGUAAGCGGAUAUUUUGUGACAGCACGCAGCCGAGCCGCUGUGAGGUGUUGGGUCUACAGGUUGAGCAUCAGUUUAAAUGAGCUGAAGGCAACAUGUCCAGAUCACUUCUUUUGUUCCACCAACAGUUUCAAACUGGAGGAAAUUCAGUUGAUGAGAAAGAAAAGUAGCAGAUAUUCACAUUUUAAAAGUUGGGACUGUUGAUUUAGGCCAGCAGCUUGUGUGUGUGUAUCAUUAAAAUAUUUUUUUAUAAUUACAUUACUGUGACAUGAAAUUGGUGUUCACUUGAUGUACAGAUAUAACAGUUGUGUGUGUGUAAUUUGUAUCUUUUUGUGUGCGUUUAUAAAUGUGCAUUUAUUGCAGAUUGUGUUUAUUAGACACUGCACAAAAUGCUUUGAGUGUCCUGAUUGUAGGGGUUAAGAACAUUUAAAUAAAUGAAUUAAAAUCUAAACAAAUAUAUUUGACAAAAUGUGGAAAAUGUAUAAAAUUAUAUUUUACCUUUUAGAAAAACAAAAAUACACGUAUAUCUCAUGUUUGGCCUCAGUGUAUUGUAAAAGAAGUCAUGUCUAUAAUUCUGAUACUUCUGGAGUAUUGCAACAUUUCUAUGUUCAUAAUUAUAACAAUUAUGACUAUGAAAAUGACAACAAUCAAAGAUAUUUAUUUCACCUUGUUUGCAUUUUUAAUGAGCAUGUAUUUCCAUGUCAAAGUUUCUCUUAGCCACAGCCUAUAAUUAGAAAAAUAUAAAUAAAUUCUCCUUGAAGUGAUUAUCAAUUUCUUUCAGUUGGAAUAUUUUAAUAAUAUAUAAAUGUCCCUGAAGAUAAUUUCAGGUGAAAAGGGCUGAAUAAUAUUAAAUUAAGAAGGAUAAAUAAAUAAUAUUAUAUAUGGUAACUGUGGUUGAUUGAUGAGGUUGUUUGUUCACUGCCCUCCGGUGGCCACAGUUUGUAACUACACCUACGUCUCUGAAGUCGUUACACCCGAAGUAUUGGGGUCAAUAACUCCUGCAAGAAGGAUUGUUAUUAUUUUUACUUAUUACAUUUAAAUAUUUUUAAAAAAGAUUUUAAAAUAGAAAACUAUUCCAGAACUAUGAACUCCAGUGCAGAAAGACUAUGGAAAUAAAUUAUUAUUAAAUAUAAUUUUUAGUAUUACAUUACUGUGCCAUGAAGUUGGUGUAUUUUUUGUUUUAGAAAAACAAAUAUAAUGCAUUUGUAUCUGUCAUGCUCUGUAUAUUGUAAAAGAAGCCAUGUUUAUAAUUCUGAAUUGAAUGUUUAGUCAGUCAUGAACUUUGUCUUUUGAACUUAUAAAUGAUUGAGUUUCUGCAGGUUGUCAGAGAUCAGCUGUUAUUAUCUAGUCUCAGCUCUGAAGUCCACCCCCCUCCCAUCUGAAACAUCUGGACCUGAGUAAAAACUACAAACUGAAAGAUUCAGGAGUGAAGCAGCUUCUUGAUCUUGUGAAGAGUCCAGACUGUAGACUGUGGAGGGUUGGAGUCAGUUCAUACUUCUUUUAGUUAUAGUGUAGUAAACACAGUUUGUCUCAAUACAAAGAUCCAGCUGUUUUCCUCAGUGAAGCUGUGAGAGGAGACAACAAUCAGCCAAUCAGAUCAUCAUGAAGCUUGUUGUGUUCAUGUUUUCAGGAAAUAAAUCUGAAUUACUUCAUGGUCAUUGCAUUUAGCAUUAGCAUUUAGCAUACGUCCUCUUUGAGUUAAUCGUUCCAUAACCACUGCUCCUGUUUUGGAGCGUUCACAUUGAGCCAGUUUCUUGUGUCUUACUCUCUGCUAGUAACACUUUAGUCAAGUACAGAUCUUCUUUCACUACAACCUUCUCAAUAUUCCCAAGAAUCAUCACUUGUGUUUGGAAUUUCACAUCCCAAGACAUUUUUUACGACUGAGUUAACAUUUUGCCAGUAUAUCCUCAUUUUUAUACACUUCCAGAAGAUGCGUUCAUGGUCUGCCUCCACGCUCCCACAUAAUCUCCAGCAGUCCUGCUGUGAAGCCAGUUGCCUAGAUUUUUAUCUUUGCUGUUAUAAAAUAGUGAGUUAGGUUUUUCCAGCAGAACUCCCUCCAUAUGAAUGAAUUUGUUGUUGUACGUUGUGUCUCACACAUGUGGUGCCACUCCUCCUCUUGUAUUUGGAUUUUUAGCUCUGCUUCCCUUUUUGCUUUUUUAUAAAGUGUUGAUUCCUUCCUGCUGUCACCCAAAGCUCGAUAGAAAGCAGAGAUGUUUGUGUGAACCUCAUCUCUUUUGGGGAAUAAUCUCUCAGCUGCAAGUGUCUAUAGAAGUCUUUGUUUUCGAGGCUGUUCUUUGUCUUUAGAUCUUGGAAACUUAGAAGUUGUCCACCUUCUGAUACUGUACAUGUUGAAUGCUGGAUCAUACGACUCUGGCUUCAACUUUAACCAAGUAGAUCAGAAACUGAAACAAGUAGCAAAAGCUGUCUUCAUGAUAGUGCAUCAUGACUUUUUCAUUCAACAUACUAUACACAACAUAGUACAUUAUAUCUUUUCUAUUGCAUACUAUAAUAUGACUUUUUUAAUUCAUACUAUACUACGACUUUUUUUUCAUACAUUUCUUAUCACAUACUAUACUUUGACUUUUCUGCUGGACAUACUAUACGAUGACUUUUUUAUUGGACAAACGGUUUUGUUCUAACAUCUGCUUCUAUAUCACUACACCGGUCCACAUCCAUGAUGGUUUCCAAGACUCAACCCAGAGAACAGGACCUUCACAAGCAAUAACACCCUAUAGAACAUCAGGAGGAGACACGGCCAUGAUGGUUUCUAAGACUACGACUAAAGAACAGCAACGUUGCAGGAAGACUCUACAGAACAUCAGGAGGAGACGCGGCCAUGAUGGUUUCUAAGACUUCACCUGAACAACAGCAACUUUGCAAAAGGACUUCACGUGAAGAGGAGGAUCUUCACGCUGCAGAAACCACGGGGAGGACACGGCCCCCCCCGCGCCUGCUACCACAGGACCCACUCCGAUGAUCCAGGCCCCCGACAACGGGUUGGAUUCGAACCAAUCUCCUGCGACUUCCAGCCGCGGUUGAACCACCACACGCCACCAAGAACCCUUCACACUUGGACCUUCUCUCUGAGCGCUUUUGUCAUCGUCACUUUGGAAUCCGGACUUUAAAAGUCACGAUUGUCAUAAGAUUUGAACCCAUGACUUAGAAAGUUUCAACUACUCAUUUAACUCUUUGAGCUAUUUAACUGCAGGAUUUUAGUCUUUCAUAAACAUUUUCCAUCAGUUUCUUUGGGUGUUGAUCUUCAAAAGUCACGACCGUCAUAAUAUUUGAACCCAUGACUUCACACUCACCAUUGACUCUUCUAACAGUCUGAGCUAUUUGUCCACAUGUUCCUGGUCUUUCUUGGAGAUUUUCAGUCUCUACUUUGAGUGUUGGACUCUAAAAUUCAUAGACUGCGAUAAGAUUUGAACCCACGUCUUUAGAACCGCCAAGAAGUCCUCUACCAGCCUGAGCUAUCUGACCACAACUGUUCUCACUCUUCCUGGAGCUUUUCUGUUUGUUUCUGUGGUUGAUUAAAUGUAAAAAUUUCUCAUGGGGGAUUGAACACAUGUCUCCAGAACAUCAAUGAACUAACCUAACACCUUAGGCCAUCAGAGAAAAGCUGUUGUGUUCAGAUUAUAUCAGGGUUUUUUAGUCUUUUCUCUGGAUGUUGGACAUUAAAAUAAAAAGAAAACUGUCCAAGGAUCAAACCAACAACCUUCCAGUCCUUAGAGGAGACUCUAACCACUUGAGCCACUGAACCAGAGACAACAACACAUCUACUUUUACAUCUUUUCAGGCUUUCAUGUUGGUAUUAAUAUUUAAAAUGAACUGAACCAUCCAGGCAUUGAACCCAAACCUUCAGAACCUCUGAGGAAAGACUUAACAUCAUGAGCCACGACCCCAGAGACACCGAGAUGCUUUAAACUUUAAAAGCAUUUUAGUUUUUCCUCUGUCACUUAGAGAAUAAAAUGUCAAAAGCAGAGCUCUUGAUUUGAUCCACUGGUUUCAGACUGAGAGACAGAACCACAGCUGAUCUCACUGAGCUACUCUUCAACCUGGAUGUGCAGCUUUUUGUUGUUGUGUUCAUUGUUCACUUCCCUCAGAAGCAACAACAGAAAGAAGUCAGUAGCCUAGAGUUGAACCUAGGACCUAAGAACAAGGAGGAGUUACUAGGACGUCUCACCUCACUGAGCUAUUCACAAAGUUUAACCAAAGGAAGUUUGUCCUUAGAUUUCUAGAUCACCAGCCUCAGCACCAGCUCAUCCUUCUCUACUGGGUUUUCUCUUCUCACUCAAUGAGUCAUAAAGUCUCUUUGAGGAUCAGUGUUAGUGGAUGUGCACAGUUGUAGUUUCUGACACUGACCACUGGAGGGCGGUGAUGGUGAUAGUUUAAAAACACUUCCUGUCCUCUGGGUUCAUUGAAUCGUUCAGGAUCAGGAGCGACUCUGAUUUAUUUGAGCUUCAUCACUCCUCCUCUUCCUCCUCCUGCUGAAGGUAAAAUCGUUUCUCUGGUUCCUCUCCUUUAGUCUGGUGUCAGUGUUUGUGUUGAUCAACAGGCUGCGUUCACCUGCGCAGGUGAGUGUGUUUUCAGAGCAGUGAGCCUCCUCCUGCCUCUGACUCAUCAAUUCACUGGUUAAAGAGUCAAAACAGACUCUGCAGACUGACCUGCCGCUUCCUCUCAGUCUCAGUGUUCACCACUAAGUCACAGUUGAUCAACUCACUGGAGAAACGUGGAAGAAACACGCGGACAGAGGCAACGUGUUGCUGAUCAGCUGUUUCACUUCCUGAUCAGUCCGCUGCGUUCAGGACAAAUCGGACAUUUCAGACUCUCUGGUCAAAUCCAGCUGCAUUUAGAAAAAUAAUUAACCGACAAAAUAAAUGUUAAUUUAAAGACGAUUUUCUGUAUUUCAUCAACAAUUCUACUAACAAAGUAUCAAAGCUGUCGAAGUGUUCACUGUACAAAUAAACUUGUCAGUUCAGUCUGUUACUGAUAAUCUCAAAUGAUAGAAACAUGGGUGAUUUUUAAGAUCAGGUGGGGCUUUGUUUAAAUGUGCUGCAGAAAUAUAAAUAAAACUGAAAACAUAUAAGGUGUCGUCCAACAGAAACUUGACUUUCCAUCACGUACGUUAAUUUUUCAACAGGAACAAAUGAUGAAGGUCUGAGGUUGACUCCACAUGGAACCUCCUCCUCUAGUUUGUUUGUGUGUGUUCAUGUCAUUUAGACUGAGUUCAGUCAUUUUUCAGGUGUGAAUCCAGGACGUGUCGUCCUUCUUUUUAUUUUUCAGAUGAGUUUCCAGGUGAAAACUGAAGACGAGUCGUGGUCUGACUUGGUCUCCUUCUCAUCCUGAACCUUUCCUCAGAGCUGGUCUUAUCAUGAGCUUCACAGAGAAACCUUCUGACUUCAGGUCAGCACAGUCACCUCAGAAACAGCAGAGAAACUAAGACUCAGUUAUUUUGUUAGAACAGAAUAUUCUUUAUUGUCAUUGCAGAUCUCAGGUUGUUCAGUGUUAUCUGAAGUCAAAAAUAUGAUAAAAUAUGAAUAUGGAAUAUAAUUUGCAAUAUUUAUGUUAAAUGAUAAAAUGUUCUUCCACAGUGACUCCUCACAGGAAACUGUAUUAAAAUGUGAUUUGUUGUUUUUUAUGGUAAAAUAAAAUCUUUUUAUCAAACU